rnacentral:rRNA from 1 species
GGUUCGAUCAUGGCUCAGAUUGAACGCUGGAUGCUUUACACAUGCAAGUCGAACGGCAGCACGGACUUCGGUCUGGUGGCGAGUGGCGAACGUGCGGGAGUAAUGUAUCGGAACGUGCCUAGUAGCGGGGAUAACUACGCGAAAGUAGCUAAUACCGCAUACUGCUCUUUCGGGGGAAAGCGGGGGACCUUCGCCUCGCACUAUUAGAGCGGCCGAUAUCGGAUUAGCUAGUUGGUGGGUAACGGCUCACCAAGGCGACGAUCCGUAGCUGGUUUGAGAGGACGACCAGCCACACUGGGACUGAGACACGGCCCAGACUCCUACGGGAGGCAGCAGUGGGGGAAUUUUGGACAAUGGGGGGAACCCUGAUCCAGCCACCCCGGCAGGCGAUGAAGGCCUUCGGGUUGUAAAGCACUUUUUGGCAGGAAGAAACGGCACGGGAUAAUACCCCGUAACUGACGGUACCUGCAGAAUAAGCACCGGCUAACUACGUGCCAGCAGCCGCGCAAAAUACGUAGGGUGCAAGCGUUAACUGGAAUUACUGGGCGUGAAGCGUGCGCAGGCGGUUCGAAAAAGAAAGAUGUGAAAUCCCAGAGCUUAACUUUGGAACUGCAUUUUUAACUACCGAGCUAGAGUGUGUCAGAGGGAGGUGGAAUUCCGCGUAGCAGUGAAAUGCGUAGAUAUGCGGAGGAACACCGAUGGCGAAGGCAGCCUCCUGGGAUAACACUGACGCUCAUGCACGAAAGCGUGGGGAGCAAACAGGAUUAGAUACCCUGGUAGUCCACGUUCAAACGAUGUCGAAUUUAGUUGCGCUGGGGCUUCGUCCAGAGUGUUAAUGAAGACCAUCACCAAAGAAAAAUAUUCACGCAAAAUCGAAGGAAUUGACGGGGACCUGCAAGCGGUGGAUGAUGUGGAUUAAUUCGAUGCAACGCGAAAAACCCACUUACCCUUGACAUGUCUGAAUCCCGAAGAGAUUUGGGAGUACUGCAAGAGAACCGGAACACAGGUGCUGCAUGGCUGUCGUCAGCUCGUGUCGUGAGAUGUUGGGUUAAACCCGCAACGAGCGAACCUUGUCAUUAGUUGCUACGAAAGGGCACUCCAUCGAGACUCGCCGGUGACAAAGUCUGGAGGAAGGUGGGAUGACGUCAAGUCCUCAUGGCCCUUAUGGGUAGGGCUUCACACGUCAUACAAUGGUCGGGACAGAGGGUCGCUAACCCGCGAGGGGGAGCCGUAAUCCCAGAAAACCCGAUCGUAGUCCGGAUCGCAGUCUGCAACUCGACUGCGUAGUCGGAAUCGCUAGUAAUCGCGUGGAUCAGCAUGUCGUGGUGAAUACGUUCCCGGGGUCUUGUACACACCGCCCGUCACACCAUGGGAGUGGGUUUUACCAGAAGUAUUAGCCUAACCGUAAAGGAGGGCGAUUACCACGGUAGGAUUCAUGACUGGGGUGAAGUCGUAACAAGGU